rnacentral:rRNA from 1 species
GGAAUUCGAUUACCGCGAAGAACCUUACCUGGCCUUGACAUGUCUGGAAUCCUGCAGAGAUGCGGGAGUGCCUUCGGGAAUCAGAACACAGGUGCUGCAUGGCUGUCGUCAGCUCGUGUCGUGAGAUGUUGGGUUAAGUCCCGCAACGAGCGCAACCCUUGUCCUUAGUUGCCAGCACGUAAUGGUGGGAACUCUAAGGAGACUGUCGGUGACAAACCGGAGGAAGGUGGGGAUGACGUCUAGUCAUCAUGGCCCUUACGGCCAGGGCUACACACUUACUACAAUGGUCGGCCCAGAGGGUUGCAAUACCUCGAGGUGCAGCCCCUCCCAGAAAGCCGACCCCAGUCCGGAUUGGAGACUGCCACUCCACUCCCGAAGUCGGAACCGCUCGUACUCGCCGAUCAUUUAUGCUGCGGUGACUACCUUCCCGGGCCUUGUACACACCG